AGUGAACGCUGGCGGUAGGCCUAACACAUGCAAGUCGAACGGCAGCACAGUAAGAGCUUGCUCUUACGGGUGGCGAGUGGCGGACGGGUGAGGAAUACAUCGGAAUCUACUUUUUCGUGGGGGAUAACGUAGGGAAACUUACGCUAAUACCGCAUACGACCUACGGGUGAAAGCAGGGGAUCUUCGGACCUUGCGCGAUUGAAUGAGCCGAUGUCGGAUUAGCUAGUUGGCGGGGUAAAGGCCCACCAAGGCGACGAUCCAUAGCUGGUCUGAGAGGAUGAUCAGCCACACUGGAACUGAGACACAGUCCAGACUCCUACGGGAAGCAGCAGUGGCGAAUAUUGAACAAUGGGCGGAAGCCUGAUCCAGCCAUACCGCGUGGGUGAAGAAGGCCUUCGGGUUAUAAAGCCCUUUUGUUGGGAAAGAAAAGCAGCGGGUUAAUACCCCGCUGUUCUGACGGUACCCAAAGAAUAAGCACCGGCUAACUUCGUG
rnacentral:rRNA from 1 species